rnacentral:rRNA from 1 species
UACGAAGGGGGCUAGCGUUGUUCGGAAUUACUGGGCGUAAAGGGCGCGUAGGCGGUGUGUCAAGUCAGGCGUGAAAGCCCCGGGCUCAACCUGGGAACCGCGCUUGAGACUGGCACGCUCGAGUUCGGGAGAGGAUGGUGGAAUUCCCAGUGUAGAGGUGAAAUGCGUAGAUAUCUGGAGGAAUACCGGUGGCGAAGGCGGCAUCCUGGACCGGCAUUGACGCUGAGGAGCGAAAGCCAGGGGAGCAAACGGG